UGAGGCAAAAAGGCGUCGUGGG
rnacentral:piRNA from 1 species